GGCUUUUGCCUCCCAUGUUUAGUCAGAAGGCUGGUCAUUCCAUCCGUUCGUUACACACAUGGGACAUGGAGGUUCCUUGAGAGUUGAGGGCGCCCCUGUGCUUCUCAUAGUUUUGGAACCACA
rnacentral:snoRNA from 1 species